AACGAACGCUGGCGGCAUGCCUAACACAUGCAAGUCGAACGAGACCUUCGGGUCUAGUGGCGCACGGGUGCGUAACGCGUGGUAACCUGCCCUUAGGUUCGGAAUAACUCCCCGAAAGGGGUGCUAAUACCGGAUAAUGUCUUCGGACCAAAGAUUUAUCGCCUUUGGAUGGGCCCGCGUUGGAUUAGCUAGUUGGUAGGGUAAAAGCCUACCAAGGCGACGAUCCAUAGCUGGUCUGAGAGGAGGAUCAGCCACACUGGGACUGAGACACGGCCCAGACUCCUACGGGAGGCAGCAGUGGGGAAUAUUGGACAAUGGGCGAAAGCCUGAUACAGCAAUGCCGCGUGAGUGAUGAAGGCCUUAGGGUUGUAAAGCUCUUUUACACGGGAUGAUAAUGACAGUACCGGGAGAAUAAGCUCCGGCUAACUCCGUG
rnacentral:rRNA from 1 species